UGGGGGGGAUUAGUAACAGAUAGCAGGGGGAUUAUCUGUGAUGGAUUUGGGGGGGUGGUGUGAGGUUAGCACGGGACAGAAGGGCGGCGGCAGCGUGGUUGCCUAGCACUUGUCAUCACAUGAAAUGAGGAAGGUUGAAAUUAUGACAUAAAAAAUCUAAAUUGAAAUUUAAAAAAGGAAUUAAAAGAUUAAAAAGACAAUUAUGAGAUUAAAAAUUUAAAUGACAAGUUAAAAAAAAUCUAAAUUAUGAGGGAAAAAAUGUAAAUUAUGAGCUAAAAUCAUAAUUGAGACUAGACGGGGGGGUGGCAUGAGGUUAUAGCGCAGGGCAGAAGGGCGGUGGCAGGGUGUGUGUGUGGGGGGGGGCAGCAAGCACUUGUCAUCACAUGAAAUAAGGACAAAGGCAAUGCAUGUUCUGGACCGAAAAGACAUGUUUGAAAGGGGGUGGCGGGUACGACACCACCCCUCCCUCACACACACACUGCCCCUUCAUGCCUUCCUAAAAGACACCUGGUUUCAGUCCCACACCAUCGGGGUGCUGACGCUUGUCAACCUUCCCAGGAGAAAUACCACACCACCUCCUCAGACUACAGCUGUCCUAUCUAGUCCUGCAGCAUGAACUGAUGAAGCCUGCUGGUCCACCCGUCUGCGUCUCUACACGAGGUGACGCCAGUCCCGCGCGUGUGUGUGUAUGCCAGCGAGGCGGUGCUGACUUCUGGAGGGCGCUGGUGCUCAUCCUGCACUCUUCGCUGGCAGCGUGCUGGUCGUGGACGUGGAUCCUGUUCUCCCAGAAGCUCUUGAUGUGUUGUCUGUCGUGGAUCAGCGCCAGACUCAUCUAGUGGGGGUGGAAACAAGGAUUUGGCAUCUUUUAUGGACGGCUAUGAACAAAUGAAUAUUUGAUCAAUCAGCUAACAUAAGAUGAGUAAAUCCUGUGUAAACACCAACCUUUGUUUCCAGCUACUAAUGGAUGCACACUGGAUGACACUCACUGACCGUCUGUGUCUGCGUGUGUGUGAGAUGAAGCAGAAACAUCCACUUUAUGUGUGUGUGUGUUUUAACAGUUGCUGUGAAACCGAGCUGGUCAUGUGAUCUUUAUUUCUGAUGAUGCCCUGUCAGUUUUCACGGUGUGUGUGCGUGCGUGUGGCAUGGAUACGACAGGACAUAAAAGACAAACUGAGCUGCUGCUAUAAUUAUGUCAUCACCCUAAAACACAUUUUAUGAGCUGGGUGUGUGUGUGUGUAUGAACACUUUAUUAAAGAGGAAGUGACAUCAAUGGACACUUUAAUAAAGAGGAAGUAACCUCAUCAGAAUAAAACCCACUGAUAAAGACAGCAAUAGUUGUGUUGAAAGAGUGAGAUGACAAGGCUUUUAACCCUUGUUAAAUAUCUGGAACACAACGUCACCUACAAACCACCAAAACGUAACAGUCUUUUUCUAAAGUGCAUCUACAGCCAUAAUAGAUUCAGUCCGGAAAUAAAAUCCAAUUUGUUCUUUAGGUUACGAAAAGGCAUUUGCCGGUGACAAACUACACAUCCGUGUUGCGGGUUCGCGACUCGUUUCAUUGGCUGUGCUCAGCUCAACGGCCUCGCCUUCUUUGAGCGUCCUUUCCUCCGAUUGGACAGCGUCUUUGUAACCGACGUCACCAAGUCGUCUGGUGCCGAGUUCAGGGAAUUCGGUGCCUCUGACAUCCACUGCUGUGUCUGCGUUCUUUUUUUUAAAUUAUUAAUAAUCUUUAUUAACAACAAACAAGUAUACAAUAACAGUAUUCAAAUAACAGAACACAGUCCGCAUUUGUGGGAUUCGUGACGUCAUCCCGCCGCGCCAGAAAUGCCCAAAUUGGUACAGUGUCCUCCUCCUGCCUUGAAUGGAAGUUCAUUUUUGUGGCCCAUUCACAUCCCAAAAUCAUUUGCGCGCUUCCGUCCAGCCCUUAAAAUGUCAACAUUUAAAGGAGGAUAAGCGUCAGUAUUGAUUUAUUUCUGUGUAAAGGGGUGGUUUAUUUCGCCAUUUAAAUUUGAAGCGCAAAAGUCCCACGGUCAGCGCUCCCUUGAACGCGCUUAUAACAGCCACGGCGCACAGCUGCGCUAAUGAGCUUCCUUCUCUCUGCUGACGUGUACGACGUGCCACCGGCUCACCUGACAUACGCAGGCCGCUCCCGGAUGGAAUGAUGGUAACUUUUGUGGCUGGUGUGCAUGUUGCUAUCUUUUAGCGACGGCGAGAAGAGGCAUUAGCUAAACUGUAGCCACACCUACUGGAUCGUAAAGGAUGAGCAGCGCAGCCGUGACACAUCGACACAACUUCAAGGAAAAGUGCACUUUUUUUCUGAACGUUGCCGGUGUGGAAAGAAUGAAAUGACCGUGAGUUCCGGCACGAGAAUUACAGCAAGAAAUGCGAAAUAAACGGUGUGUGUUCUGAUGUACGAUGCUGUGUGCUUUGACCAGCCUCUGCUGCAAAUACCUCAGCUCUCACAUGGCCUGCAGCCAGGACCUCAAGCGGCAGCCCGCCAUCAGCUCCCUCAGCAGAUGUUCCUGCGGCAGCUGUACAAAGUCGAGCUGCCAAGCAGGAUGCAUCCUCAGCUCCUCCAUCAGCGUGUGGUAUGCUGGGGCCACUGGCAGGGACACGGACUGCAGAAAAUCCAUCCUUCUCUCCAGGGCCUGUAUGUUUCCUCUUGCAUCCAGCAUGGAUGAUUCACUACAUCAGCUGCUGCAUCCAGAUCAGAGACAACUGGUCUGACCAUCAUUUAUUCAACUUCCAUGCAAGGACACUCAUCAGUAUACAAGCUGAAGGACAAACAUGGCGACCAUUCAAGAUGAAAUGCUACUUGAUAUAGCUAACACCAUGUGGCAGGAGAGGGGUGCUCUCCUCCUCCUGUGGGGGACAUCCACUAAGUACUGUUCCUUGUUUACACAUUGAAAACCUGUUUAUCACCUUCUAGAUACGCUUCUUAACAUUGGAGCCCUCUAGACAUUAAAUAACACCCCUAUAGUAUCACACUCCCAUCGCCCAAUAUCGUGAUAUCACGCAGCAGUGUACGUGUCAUCAUCCAAUAUAAUAGACAUGAUAUCACCCAAUACCCAAUACAGUAGACAUGUUAUCAUCCAAUAUCUAAUACAGUAGACAUGAUAUUGGUAGUUGCUGCAGCGUUCUUUCAAACGGCUGCUCUGAUCAGGAGGAUUAGCCCAAAGAAAAAGCCCCUGCUUCCAUCGGCCAUACAGCGAAGUGAAGACGCCAUACCACAUUCAUUUGCAUAAUGUCCCUCACAUAAUGGACAUAUUUCAUCAUUCAUUCAUUUAAAAACUGAUUCAUCUGAUUUAAAUUUGUAAUCAUUUCACAGCCCUAAUUUCCAUCUCAUAUUUUCUUGAAAGUGUAAAUAUUUAGUGCAGAUAGCAUUAUUUUAUAUUGUUAUUUCACAUAUUUGUUGAAAGUGCGAUGCUGGCAGCACUCAUACAUCAAGCUGUGGAUGUGACGCUGAGCAUGUGCACUCAACUAGCUGUUAAAGCGCUGUAUGGUCUUGGGUGCUGUGCUGAGGCUCACUUUCAGUGUGUUUUCUUAUAGCUUAGCACAUCUUUAUGAAGAGCAAGUAUUCUUUUUUUCACAUGCUCAGAGUUUUAUGCCAUGAGGUGCCACGCUGAACUCCCAAAGUGACCACUAUGAGAGUGUGAGAGUGACAACACCCCCAAACAGAAUAUUUAUGAACCUGAUACUGUAGCUUGCAAUCAGUAAAUUACAAACCAGUGUUGUUUCUCUGCUUUCUUUCUGAACUCUUAUUACACUUAUUUACUGCACAUUGUUCUCUUUAUUUCCAAAUGUGUUGUUUUAAUAAAGUGAAAUGGAUUAUUUACA